rnacentral:lncRNA from 1 species
AGAGGAAAACAAACUUUACCUACGAGGAGCAAAGAUAAGAAUUACUUCUGAUGAAUCAGAAACUGUGUGAGCAAGAAGAUAGAGUAAAAUAGUUACAGUGAUAAGAGAAAGAAACCACCAGCCUAGAACUCUGCGCCCUGUGAAAUUAUCUUUCAAAAGUAAGGAAAGAUAAAGACUUUCUCAUAUGAAAAUUGAGCAACUUUUUUGCCAGUAGAACUGCCUUACAAAAAAAUGUAAAAAGAGGUUGUUUAGAGAGAAGGGAAAUAAUCUAGGUCAGAGACAUGGAUCUACAUGAAGAAAAAGAAGAGCAUGAGAGGAGAAAUAAGUAAAGCCAGUAAUAGAACCGGGGCCAAACAGGCUCAUAUUGGUGUGUGGAGGGUAUCAGAAGACACAGCAGCAAAUGUGGAGACUAGACACACUGCAAGAGAUGAUGGAUUUCAGUUCUAACCCAUCAGUGAACCCAGAAUCCAGUGAAUCUUUUGAGGUAAGAAACAUAAAUAUCGAAUUUGGCAUUUUCAUAGCAUUCCCCAGCUAGCUAUAAGCUAGCCAGUUUAGAAAACAAGGAAUUCAGACUCUAGACCCUGCUCAAUAGGUUCACCAAUUACAUGUGUCAGACUGAAGAGAAACAGCAUGAUAAUGGUGUGAGGCAUAUUCUGAGGGAAAAAGAAAUAGGGUUAGGAGGAGUGAGCCACUGUCCCAGAUUAAUAGAAGGUUAGAACUGUCCAAAGGAUUUGAGAUAUCAUUUAGCCAUGUUCUAGGCCUUUUAGGAAGUUUUCUGGAGCAGGCCCUACCCUUAUAUCUGGUUUACUGCUUUAUCCACAACAUCACUGUUGUAGUGGAAAUACUUGAAUGAUGUACUAGAGUAGAAACUCUGGUUAGAAAGGUGAGUUGGUAAGAUCAAGAUCAAACCACUGGUUUGCAGGAGAGUGGGGCCUAGACUGGUUUUGAUUCUUUGUUCUACCAAAUUUAGGAGGCAGCUUCCAGAAAAUGAACUCCUGCACAAAAGGAGUCCUCUUGUAUACUUUCUACCUUGCACAUUGCAUUUCCUCCUUCUAUAUGAAAUUAUUACUAACCAAACCUAUCAAUUUAAUGUCUAAAACAUGAGUCAAGAGAUCUGAGUUCUGUUCCCCAUUUCCCCAUUCACGUCCUUGGUGUCUGAGGCAAAUUAACCUGUCUGAACUCCAGUUUCUUCAAGCAUGAGAGAGGCUGAGGUUCCUUCUCAGCACUCAUAUCCUAUAAUUCUAAAUUUCAUGAAGGCUAAUGAAUUAAUAAACUCCCUGCUAUGGUUUGGGUACAGCUUUGGACCUGCAAAGUGUCAUGUUGAAAUCUGAGUCCCAGUGCUGGAGGCGGGGCCCGGUGGGAGGUGUUUGGGCCAUAUGGGCGUAUUCCUCACAAAUGGCUUUGUGCUAUUCUCCUGAGAGUGAGUUCUCACUCUUGAGGACAGGUUGUCGAAAAAAAACCUAGCAUCAUCUUCUCUCUUUCUCUAUCCCCAUAUCCCCUCUUGCAUGCUAGCCAUGUGAUCUCUGCACGAAG